rnacentral:pre_miRNA from 1 species
AUAUAGGGCAAAAUGAAUUUAGAAAUAGAUAAAUUAUUCUAAAAGAAAUAGAUUCUUGAUGGUUUCUCCUUCCAAUCAAAUGUUUUUU